CCCAGACUCCUACGGGAGGCAGCAGUGGGGAAUAUUGCACAAUGGGGGAAACCCUGAUGCAGCGACGCCGCGUGAGUGAGGAAGUAUUUCGGUAUGUAAAGCUCUAUCAGCAGGGAAGAAAAUGACGGUACCUGACUAAGAAGCCCCGGCUAACUACGUGCCAGCAGCCGCGGUAAUACGUAGGGGGCAAGCGUUAUCCGGAUUUACUGGGUGUAAAGGGAGCGUAGACGGCUAAUCAAGUCAGAAGUGAAAACCCAGGGCUCAACCUUGGGACUGCUUUUGAAACUGAGUAGCUAGAGUGCAGGAGAGGUAAGCGGAAUUCCUAGUGUAGCGGUGAAAUGCGUAGAUAUCAGGAGGAACACCGGCGGCGAAGGCGGCCUGCUGGACCGCGACUGACGUUGAGGCUCGAAAGCGUGGGGAGCGAACAGGAUUAGAUACCCGAGUAUU
rnacentral:rRNA from 1 species